AGAGUUUGAUCCUGGCUCAGGAUGAACGCUAGCGGCAGGCUUAACACAUGCAAGUCGAGGGGCAGCGGGAGUAGCAAUACUUGCCGGCGACCGGCGCAAGGGUGCGUAACGCGUGAGCAACAUGCCCGUAUCAGGGGGAUAAUCCAGGGAAACUUGGUCUAAUACCCCAUAGUAAUCUUAGGAGGCAUCUUUUAAGAUUUAAAGCUUUGGUGGAUACGGAUUGGCUCGCGUGACAUUAGCUAGAUGGUAGGUAACGGCCUACCAUGGCUACGAUGUCUAGGGGUUCUGAGAGGAAGAUCCCCCACACUGGAACUGAGACACGGUCCAGACUCCUACGGGAGGCAGCAGUGAGGAAUAUUGGACAAUGGAUGGAAAUCUGAUCCAGCCAUGCCGCGUGCAGGAAGACUGCCCUAUGGGUUGUAAACUGCUUUUGUAUGGGAGCAAUAAGCCCUUCGUGAAGGGUGAUGAGAGUACCAUACGAAUAAGCAUCGGCUAACUCCGUGCCAGCAGCCGCGGUAAUACGGAGGAUGCAAGCGUUAUCCGGAUUCACUGGGUUUAAAGGGUGCGUAGGUGGAUUGGUAAGUCAGUGGUGAAAUCUCCGAGCUUAACUUGGAAACUGCCAUUGAUACUAUCAAUCUUGAAUAUUGUGGAGGUCAGCGGAAUAUGUCAUGUAGCGGUGAAAUGCUUAGAUAUGACAUAGAACACCAAUUGCGAAGGCAGCUGACUACGCAUAUAUUGACACUGAGGCACGAAAGCGUGGGGAUCAAACAGGAUUAGAUACCCUGGUAGUCCACGCCCUAAACUAUGGAUACUCGACAUUAGCGAUACACUGUUAGUGUCUGAGCGAAAGCAUUAAGUAUCCCACCUGGGAAGUACGAUCGCAAGAUUGAAACUCAAAGGAAUUGACGGGGGUCUGCACAAGCGGUGGAGCAUGUGGUUUAAUUCGACGCAACGCGAAGAACCUUACCAGGCCUUGACAUGCCGUGCUACCGCCAGAGAUGGCGGUCUUCGGA
rnacentral:rRNA from 1 species